GCCUGGGUGGCUCAGUGGUUGAGCCUCUGCCUUUGGCUCAGGUCCUGAUCCUGGAAUGCGGGAUCAAGUCCUGCAUCGGGCU
rnacentral:tRNA from 1 species